CCCUUAGAUGUUCUGGGCCGCACGCGUGCUACACUGAUGCAUUCAACGAGUCUAAAACCUGGUCUGAUAGGGCUGGGUAAUCUUUUGAAAGUGCAUCGUGAUUGGGAUAGAUGAUUGCAAUUCUUCAUCUUCAACGAGGAAUGCCUAGUAAACGCAAGUCAUCAGCUUGCAUUGAUUACGUCCCUGCCCUUUGUACACACCGCCCGUCGCUCCUACCGAUUGAAUGAUCCGAUGAAUACCAUGGAUUGAGAGUACGAAUAGGUUCGCUUAUUUCUGCUGCUCGAGAAGUGGAGUAAAUCUUAUCAUCUAGAGGAAGGAGAAGUCGUAACA
rnacentral:rRNA from 1 species